GAUGAACGCUAGCUACAGGCUUAACACAUGCAAGUCGAGGGGAAACGAUAGAGAAAGCUUGCUUUUUCUAGGCGUCGACCGGCGCACGGGUGAGUAACGCGUAUCCAACCUGCCCAUCACUUGGGGAUAACCUUGCGAAAGUAAGACUAAUACCCAAUGACGUCCAUAGAAGACAUCUGAAAGGGAUUAAAGAUUUAUCGGUGAUGGAUGGGGAUGCGUCUGAUUAGCUUGUUGGCGGGGUAACGGCCCACCAAGGCGACGAUCAGUAGGGGGUCUGAGAGGAAGGUCCCCCACAUUGGAACUGAGACACGGUCCAAACUCCUACGGGAAGCAGGAGUGAGGAAUAUUGGUCAAUGGGCGAGAGCCUGAACCAGCCAAGUAGCGUGCAGGAUGACGGCCCUAUGGGUUGUAAACUGCUUUUAUAAGGGAAUAAAGUGAGCCUCGUGAGGCUUUUUGCAUGUACCUUAUGAAUAAGGACCGGCUAAUUCCGUGCCAGCCGCCGCAUAA
rnacentral:rRNA from 1 species